rnacentral:rRNA from 1 species
AGCGAACGUUAGCGGCGGGCCUAACACAUGCAAGUCGAACGCGAAAGGUCUUCGGACUGAGUAGAGUGGCGCACGGGUGAGUAACACGUAGGUAAUCUACCCUUUGGCGGGGGAUAACGUUCCGAAAGAGCGCUAAUACGCAUAAGACCACGGAGUCUCCGGACGCUGUGGGAAAAGGUGGCCUCUUCUUGAAAGCUACCACCGAAGGAUGAGCCUGCGUCCCAUCAGCUAGUUGGUAAGGUAAUGGCUUACCAAGGCGAAGACGGGUAGCUGGUUUGAGAGAAUGAUCAGCCANACUGGCACUGGAACACGGGCCAGACUCCUACGGGAGCCAGCAGUGAGGGAAUAUUGGGC